AAGCUGGGCUGCAGUUUGCUGCAGGAAGGAAGGAGGAAACAUCAGGCUGAGAGGCUGCUCUGGCCAGAGUGAGGAGGUUCAGGGGGAAUGUAAAAAUGACCAUCCCAUAUCAGACCAAUGAUCCAUCUGUUCCAUGAUCUCCAACAGUGGCCAGCCCUAGAUAUUUCAAAUGAAGGAGAAGACCAUAAGGUGUAUAUGAACAGAAACACCUGACUAUGCUAGAAUUGGAAAAAGCUUAACUGGAUCUACCUCUGUGAGAAUUAAAAAGCACUUCUCAAUUGACAAGCCUUCUGAAGUACAGAUGUCCACUGAAAUUCAUCACCAGUCUUUGCCUACUGUAUGAUGGUAUGUGAGCAGUGUUUCUCAGUAAUGGAUCUAUCAUAGAUCCCUUUGAGGUUAAGAUGGGAGCUAAAUAAGGCUGUGUUAUUGCUCCAACCUUCUUUUUGAUAUUCCUUACCAUGAUGCUACAUCUGACCACCAACAAGCUCCCGGUCAGAGUGGAGCUAAACUACUGAAUGGAUGGUAAGCUGUUUAACCUCAGCUGGCUCCAAGCCAAAACCGAGACCACCCUGACCUCAAUCAUCGAGCUCCAGUAUGCUGAUGAUGUGGUAGUCUGUACUCACUCAGAAGCAGACCUUCAGGCAAUUAUCAACAUCUUUACUGAGGCAUACAAGAAAAUGGGACUGAUGCUUAACAUUCUGAAAACUAAGGUCCUCCAUCAACAAGCUCUUAAUGAGCAGUCGCCAGCUUCAGCAAUUCAGAUUAAUGAUGAGACUCUGGAGAAUGUUGAGUAUUUCCCAUACCUCAGAAGCCAUCUUUUGCAGAAGACUGACAUUGAUGAAGAAAUCCAACAUUGCCUCCAAUGUGCAAGUGCAGCCUUCGGACACCCGAGGAAAUGUGUGUUUGAAAAUCAUGACAUCCAAUCCAAAACCAAGCUCAUAGUUUAUCAAGUAGUUUCAAUCCCCACCUUACUUAUGGAGCUGAGGUGAAGACAACAUACAGGACAUUAAGUCAUUAGAGAAGUACCAACAGAAGAUCCUUCGAAUUCAGUGGGAAGAGAGGUGCACCAACAUUAGCAUUCUCUUGCAAGCAAACACCACGUACAUGAAGGAAAUGAUCAUCUGGUAUCAACUUCGCUGGGCUGACUAUGUCAUCCAGAUGUCUGACUCCAGACUCCUGAAGCAAGUUUUAUUCUCUCAGCUCAGUCAAGGCAUAUGCUCAAGAGGAGGGUAGAGAAAGCACUUCAAGGACGUUCUCAAGGCCAACUUGAAAAAAACGCCGACUUGACAUCAACUUAUGAGAGACUAUUGCCCAGAACUGCCUCAAAUGGAAGAAGAGUCUGGUACAAGGAUCUUGAUACUUUGAAACCUUACAACAAUGAGACAGAAAAGCGGGAGUGGCAGAAACAAUGUGUUGUGGAUUGAAUCAAGAAUUCAGAGCCAUCCUUCUCUCAUAGACAUGGCUGGAUUAACACUUUAGUGGGCCCUAGGCAAACAAACUUGUGGGCCUUGGGCAGGUUGAGACCCCCCUCCACACCCUGGUGCUCCUGCCCAUGGGGAGUCGAAGCUACCACUAGGAAGCAUCCCUCGCAGUGGCAAGGCCAGAGUGGGGUGGGGGGAAAGGAAGAGAGGGAGAUGGGGCCAUUCACACUGCCAACAUGGAGGGAAGGACCGAGGUCCCCUGCAGCUUGGGGCCCUUGGCAUACCUAGUUUGCUUAUGCGUUAAUUUGGCCCUGCUCAUAGAAACAUGUGUCUGAAUUGCAGUAAAGUCUGUCAAUCCUGGAUCGACCUCCUCCGCCAUGUUUGGACCCAUAGAUAAUACACUCAUGGAAGACAAUCAUCCUCGACUGUGAGGGAUUGCUGAAGAAGACGAAGACUUGUAUUAUGCUAGUGCUGUACAAAUGUAAUCAGAGGCAGGUCAUGCCCUGAUGAGUUUACAAUUCAAUUUGAAACCAAAUUCAACUGAUGAAUGUAACAAUACAGGCAAGGAAAACAGUCAUAUCAACAUGCAUUUGGGUAUGUUGGCUACACACACAAUUGGAUGGUUUUCAGUCAGUUUGAAAGAGCAAGUACAUUGUAACUUACAUUUUAAAAGUCUCUGGUUCUCUUUCUAUUGGGCCAUGAUCUAGAGAUCUCCUACUAAAAGAUGUUAAACAGGAGAAGAUUGUGACUUUAAACUAUGUGCUCUAAAGGGUACUUUUACACAUGCUCCAGGGGUGAGUGGGGCAGCGCUUUAAUUAGAGCAGCUCUGAGAGCUGCUCUAAUUAAAGUGUUGCAGCAUCUUGUGUAUCAGUGUUCCCAUGCUUCAAAAUAGUAGUGGGGGCGCUUGAACUAAAGCUCAUUUGAUGAGCUUUAGUUCAAGUGCCCCUGCUGCUAUUUUAAAGUGCUACACAAGAAAUGGGAAGCUGCUGAUACACAAGAAGUGAGAAGCUGCUGGAGCAUGGUAAUUAUCACACUCCAGGAAACUCGAUGAAUGAAUCAAGUCUGCUCUGAAACAUUGUAAUUACAGUGCAUCGAAGCAACCUCUGUGCUCAUGUAAAGGCACCCUAAAAAUCUGUGCUAAUGUGCAUUAGAUCUAGCCACCCCAAAACACAAGGUUCAGCAGCAAGAUGGAUGUUUAGACUGGGACUUUUCAUCUGAGUUACAAAGAUAGAAACUCUUUGUAAAAAUUGGGAAUGAAGAUUUUAACAAACAAAAAUUUGUGGGUAUUUGAGGGUCUGGGGUAAGCUUGCAUGUAAAUAUUUGUAAAAUGAACAUGGGCCCAGAUUGUUUCCUGUGUUCCAGCUCCUAUACGUUUCCAUAAGUCAGUAAAAGAGCCUUGAAACAGCUAAAUCUGGCCAUCUGAGAGUGUCCACCCCAGAGAGGAUUCUCAGCUGAUGCAGAACAAGUGUAACCAGCACCUGCUCCAUGCCCCAUCUGACCUGAUAUAAUGGAUAUGCUGGGAAGGAGAGGAUGUUGUAACAAUGCAACCUCAAGAUGGCAUACCCUCCCUUGAUGGUUUAUUAGAGAAGCCCAGAGUCUAGUGCUGGUACAGAUGGACCAAGAGAAUCUUCUGUGCUAAGCAGAUCUCAGUGCAAAACUGAAUCGAUUAGGAUAAUAACUGAAUCAUUUAUUCCUAUUCUGAAGGCCAGUCUAUCAGAGGAAACCAGAUACUGCAGCAUCACUAAAUUCAAUGAACACAUUCUGGUUCUGUACCACUGUAACUGAGAUCAGGGUAAUUGGUUUUGUGUAAGUUUUGAAUAAGCAGCGAUUUACAGUAGGGUGAAAAUCAUGUGUGACCAAAGCCUGUGGUUUGCAGAUCCAGGGCAUGUAAACUGAAGAAUAAUGUUGCGGGAUAAUUUAGCACUAGUGUGCAUUCAUUUUUCAUGCAAUGAUAUAACUAGGUUUGGCCAGGAAAUGAAUAAUUGUUGUUCACUUGUGAUUUCUGUUUUGCCUGAGAUUUUUCUUUUGUUUGGAAUAUGCUGAGAAAAUAAGGGAAUUUCUGUUAUAGAAAUUUAGGUGCACAUUGGCUCCUAAUGUGUUUUAAAAAAACCCAAAACAUGGAUUUAUACUGAACAAUGCCACUCACGCAGAGUAGUCAAAUGACCACUGUAGCUAAAUUGAAAGGCUAUAACUCACCAGCUGAUAAGGUACCAAAAAUUCAUUCAUAUGUUUGGCUAAAACAGUACAUCCUACACUGUGCCCUGAAUGCUGCUAAAUUGUGGUUCUGGCAAACUCUUGAAGGAAACAAAUUGUAUUGGCAAGUUUCUCUGUAUAAAAAUGAACAGAUAACAGCACAAGUUGAAUUUUCCUGCCUGUUUAAUGAGAACUUGUGCUUCAACAACCUGCAUGCAUGGUCCUAUGGGUUUUACGGUUGUCCUGGACAAAAACACUGGUGAGGGUGAUUGUACAUGUGACGAUAUACACGUGACGGAAAUGUCACUUUGUGUAGCUUAGUGGUGUCGCAUAUUACACAUGCACCAGUUGGGGGGGGGCGGGGAUUAGUUGAGUUUGCAUAGUUGCAAACUAAACUACACCCUGAUGUUGUUUAAUUUGCAAUGAUGCGUUGCAGCUAAUAGUCAGCUUGUCCCCUGGCUGCGGGAGAGACGGGCAGGCUCUGCAGAAAAAAAGGAUCAGGCUCCUUGCCACUUCUGCCUUCAGCAGACACACCUGCUUAAGGCACAAGCGGUGAGGGGCCUGAUCCUUUUUCUUUUCUUUUUUGUUGGAGCCUGCCCACAGCUGGGAGGUGACCUGCCAGCAGACCAAGUAACCCCUCAGCUGCAGGAGGCCCUGGUCCUUCCCUCCACAGUGGCAAUGCUGUCUGGACAGGCUGCCAGUGGGCCAGGUGCCUGCCCCAGCAUGGAGGCUCACCUGGCCUGAUCCCUGUGGGGCACUGCUGCACAGAGAGAAGGACCAGGGCCCCUCACAGCUGAGGGAUCGCUCGGCCCACCAGCAGCUUGCCCCCUGGCUGCAUUCAGGCUCUGCCAAAAAAAAAAAGGAUUGGGCCCCUCAUUGUAACAUGACAGAAAAAUAAAAACCCUAAAUUGAAAUGUUGGGUUUCAAUUAAAAACCCACUGUCUCACUUUAGGAGGCAUAGAAGACUAAACCUACAUCACGUGUACAAGCAACCUCAGUGGCCACUUUUGAACGGGAUGCUUUCCAAGCCCAACCACUUUAAAGCUAUAUAACUUGCAAAGUCUCUGCCCAGGUUUGGGGAACUGAACAGAACAUUUCAGUGCCUUCCAACUGCCUGUCCCUCUCAUCUGCAACCCUGUUUAUCUGAGGGAUUCAGAGGCCUCUGAGACCUUUUGAUAAAUGUAGCUAUAUUGUAUUUGAAUGGUGUUGCUUACUUUCUAUUUUUAGUUAACUUUCCCCAGGUGUAAAAAAACCAUAUGUACAGUUUGUAGUAAAUGUAAAUUUAAUACCUGCGUGUAGCAAUGUUUCUGCUGCCAUCCAUAAAAUCAACUGAGGAUAUUUCCUUAGCCUAUGCUCCAAACUGUAUACUUUCAUCUGAGAUGUGUGUAUUGAUUUUGUUAGGGCUGUUUUGAUCUCAUGUUCAUUCUCUGUCAUUGUUUUGUCUUGUUAAAUGUUUUUGUCAAGAAUGAUCAAAUUUACUUGUAAUAAUAAUAUUAAAAACAAAUGAGGCAUAUCCCAUAUGUAAGAAUUCUGUCUGGCAUCAGUAUUGUAUCAUGACAUGGAUCUUCUUUCUGAGCAGCAGAAAAAUGCUGUAAUACACUUUCUUCUCUCCAGAAAUCUGUCUAUCAUAUUUAAGCAAUCAAGGCUGAGUUAGAGAUAGGAAUAAUAUUCCUC